rnacentral:rRNA from 1 species
AAUGAACGCUGGCGGCGUGCCUAACGCAUGCAAGUCGAGCGAGAAAGUUCCUUCGGGAGCGAGUACAGCGGCGGACGGGUGAGUAACGCGUAGGAAUCUGCCCUUUAGUGAAGAAUACCCUCGAGAAAUCGGGGCUAAUGCUGCAUACGUCCCUUCGGGGAGAAAGAUGGCCUCUUUGCUGUCGCUGAAGGAUGAGCUUGCGUACUAUUAGCUUGUUGGUGGGGUAAAGGCCUACCAAGGCGAUGAUGGUUAGCCGGCCUGAGAGGGUGUACGGCCACAUUGGAACUUAGACACGGUCCAG